CACCACAAGAAGCACCUGGAAUAUUCCCUGCAAACUCUGCACCAACACCACUAAGGGAAAGAAGCUGAUCGAAGAUAACAAAACAGCAGUGCAGAAUUCCAGAGGAUCAUCGCUGAAUAUUGAGCCAAAAUUCACGUCAGUGUUGGCGAGUGGCAUCGGGCAGAAAGUGGAAUCUUCAUUCAACAAAAACGAGAGGUCAUCAUCCGAUGUCUCCUUGACCAUCUGGGAGAAGAUGCAAGUGCCUUGAUGAAGGACUUUGAGGUCAGCAAAAUAGUUCUCAGGAUUAUUAAGUGUUCGUUUUUGAAGUUUUAACUAAUGUAUUCAUUGAUGACUGAGAGGAGAUCCCAAACAUGCAAAGGAGAAGCAUAGCGAGUUAGCAGGGAGGGAUUACUCUUUGUGUGUCCUUUUUUUUUUUUUUUUUUCUGUAACAAGCAGUUUGAAAGUUAUGGAAUCAUAUCAGGCUAAAGAUUAGGAUUCAACUACAUAUUUUGUGCUAAAACAAAAAGGAUUACAAAAAGCCAAGGAUACCAAUAGGACUGAACAAUUAAUUGCAUUUGCGAUGAUAUCGCAGUGUAAUAAAACAAGAUUUUCUAAUCACAAAGGCUGCGAUUACUCUCUGGUAGAGUAAAGCAGAGUGCAGACGAAGCAUCAACUUCGCACGUUACGCUGUACCUUGCCUUCUUGUUGUACAACGGCCUUAAGCUUGACAGAAGCUGACGCUACAGAAACUUUAGUGUCACACAGGGAAUGAAAGUAGCACCCGCGGGUAACUUGGUGGUGGGUGAAAUCGUCAGGCCAUCCGCCGCUUUGACUGACAGGAAAAAUGCAUAACAAAACUUACGUGUUGAAAGGUAAGCGUAUUGUGGCGAUAGGUGCCUGCAUCACACACACAGCUACCUGUCAGCUCAGGAAAUAUCUGUGAAAAUCGUUCAGCCCUAGAUACCACACACAAGGGUUGGGCUGAUAGACGAUUUAAUUAGCACAAAUAUUAUUAUUACACAUUUUUAAAUAUGCUUCACACCUUCCUCGGAAUUCUCUUCUCCCAACACACAGACCCACAAGAAGCCUACACCUCAGGUAAACACACUGGCUUGCCCCGCCUCUUUCUGUGUGGAGUUUGUGCUCGGCGCAUGCUCCGCAUUUUCCCCAGAAGAAUGCACGUUGACUGUGUCAGGAUAUGAGGAGUGUAAAGAAACAUUAAUGGCCAGAUCUAACAUCGUGGUGGCCAACAACUCCAGGGAGGCUUGUUGGCAGUGCAGAGUAAAUUUGUAAUUCAGUGUUGUGUUUGUAGUUCUCUAUUUCUUAUUGUAUAUAUUGUAUAUGCUGUAGGUACAACUACAUAUUAGGUAUAUUGUAAUAAAUUAAAAAAAAAAUUGGGCCAGGGGAGAGGGGUAAUAAUCCGAGAAAAAACUCAGAAUAUCCAAGAUGUGGUAAAUUUACAUGGGGGGAUCACAAAUAUACAAGUAAAAACUUGAAUAUUCUCUCCAGUGAUUUGGAUUUUUUGUGACUUUAAUCACAGGGAAGUUUUGUUCUUGUAAAUUUUCCACUUUCAUCUAUGAAUUUAUUUCUCUUAUUACUAACCCUCACCCUAAUGAUAAUAAUAAUCUAGUUGCAUUUUUUUAAUUUUAUCAAUGCGAUUGAUAUGCAACUAUUUUGUAAGCUCUUUAUCUUUUGUAUUAUUUAAAACAGACAAGCAACAAAUCAUUAUGAAUGCACACAAUAUUAGAUAGAUUAAACAUCCACUGCUCUUUCCUGUAAUUAAUGAGUCCUACUCUCAGUUCACAUCUCUACAAGACUCCAUCUCUCAACUAAAACUUCCAUUUCUGUAUCCCAGCAAGCAAACAAAAAAACAUUCCGUUUGAGGUUCAAUGCAAAAGUUGGCCAACAAAAAUAAAACCAAGUGAUACCUCUCGCAUCUAAUAGACUAGCUUAGUAAUUUUCCGACAACACCUCAACUUGAUGCUUCCUCUGCAGACAGCUUUACUCUCGCUUAUCAUGUGACCAGUGGAAUCGCAGCCUUUGCUAUUAGAAAAUCUUGUUUUAUCAUAUCGCAAUAUAAUUGCAAAUGGAAUUAAUUGUUUAGCUUUAUCCCCAGUGGAACAAGUCAGGAUGAAAUCUAAAAAUAUUUUAUCAAGUGGUAUGUAUAAAUUGUUCUCUUUUACACUGAAGACAGAUGUAGUGUGUAGUCCACAUAUGCAGGGUAACCUUAAGAUAACCUGCUCAAAGCAGUUUAGAGAUGCAGUGUAGGGCAUACCUAGGGUAAAACCUAUCCACCUUUAGUCAUACUGGCUAAUAGGGAAGUUACACCCGACAUCACAAACUUACUCCUGAAGGUACCUGGCUUAACCCCACAUGUUAUGUGUUGCCUUUAAAUACAUUUUCUAACAGAUAUGUAUAUAAAAUCCCCAAAAAUCUUUUUUACUUGACUCCACAAAAUGUUUUUCAAUGCACCCAGAAAUAUAGUCAGUAGUGGUGUCUAUAAUGUGAAUGACUGAUAUUAAACGUGUGUGUAUAUAAGUAUUUAUAUGGAGAGUGAUUUAUAAAUAAACUACAGAAUACAUUUAUUAUUCCUUCUGUGUGCAUUCAUUAAUAUCGAGACUAAAGUUAUUACAAAGAAAGUGAGCUCUAACCUCUGUUCAAGAGGAGUUGGGAUGAGAGGUGAAGCUUUACCUGCUGCGGAACCAAUAUGGAUCAGUCAAAGAACCUACUGAUGUAGGGACUGUGAAUAAGGGCAUCACUGUCCUCAGAUUGCUGCUAGUUGUUGGGACUAACCUGUGCCUUGGAUCUGAAAAACCCAAGAAUCAAAAGUUAGUUUUGAGGUCUUCCAAAUUGUAGUGCUGGAUCUAGAUCCUGGAGACCUUUCAAACUAAAUUCAAUGACUGAAAAAUUACCUGUGUACCUAAGCUGCUGACUACUGUCUGGCAAGAUGCUCUUAUAAUGUGGCUGGUGGACUGUCUUAUUGUUUACAUAAGAGAACAUUGGAUUUUGGACUGGUAUUCUGUUCAGUUGUGUAAUUGUUAAUCACUUGGUGCAUAUUUGCCAUAUGAGUUCAGUUAAGCCAAUUCUUCUACAAAGUGUACAGUGUUUUUGUGAAAUUGUCAGAAAUGUGUAAAUAGGCCUCCAAUUAAAUGUUUGAGUUGAUAGUUAAAAGUGGUGUUAUACUGAUCUACAUUAUAGUGAGAGGUUUCUCUUCUCUUUUUUUGUCCUCCCUAUUUACAUCCAUGAGGUGAGCAUAAUAUUAGAAAAACCUCUGACUCUAAUGUAGUCCAGUCCAACACCAUCUCCAGCUAUGACCUCAAUGCUAAAACAAUACCUCUGUGACACUAACAAUCCAUUACCAUUAAAUGCAUCAUAAAAGUAGACUUUAUAGCAAAGCAGUAGAUUGUUCGAGGUGUACCUAAUAAAUUGUCUAUUUCUACAAGACUGCAUGCGUCGUCUUCAUCAGAGGCCACCAUGUAACUACAGUAGCUCUGAAGGGACAAACCAAACAAUGACUCUAGAUAGGUCCUUCCCAUUUUUCAGAAGUUUCACUGCCACCAUAGUUUCUCCUGCACACUUGGCGCUACCUAGAGCCAGUCCUUGGUUUGUCCAUUUUGCCCUACUGUAGAAACAUGACUGUGUAGCAUGGCGGACUCUUGAGUAAGAUGACCUGUGCCGUCUGUACACAUAAAAAGGCUCAUUAUAGGUGAUUAUACACAAAUUAUGAUAUUCACAAGUAUGUUUAUUCUAUUUCUGCUAUAUUUUGCAAAGUUAAUUCAAAGGCCAAUUGUUCUUGGCGCAUUUUACCCAUUUUUUUUUUAGAGACAGUUUACUGUGUGCAGAGU